rnacentral:rRNA from 1 species
GCCAUGCCACCCUGAACAAGCCUGAUCCCAUCUGAUCUCAGACGCUAAGCAGGGUCAGGCCUGGUUAGUACUCAGACGCUAAGCAGAGUCAGGCCUGGUUAGAUGGGAGACCGCCUAGGAAGACCAGGUGC